GUGAUGUUCCCCACCCUCUGUCCACGUGUUCUCAUUGUUCAAUUCCCACCUGUGAGUGAGAACAUGUGGAGUUUGGUUUUCUGACCUUGUGAUAGUUGGCACAGAAUGAUGGUUUCCAGCUUCAUCCAUGUCCCUACAAACGACAUGAACUCAUCAGACAAUCAUAGAUUU